GUAUUCUCUCCACAUUUAUCGUAUCGUAUUUAUGUAUAAGCUGUUUCAUUGGUUUGUUUCGUGAGAACAACGCCUUUAUCAAUUCCAUAAAACGUUCGACGCGUUUAUAGUAAACUCGGAUAUUAGUCAGCGGAACUUUUAUACAAAUAUGUUAUACAAAUAAUUAUAUACUAGUUUUAUUCCAACAAAAAUAACAUCAUGUGUAUUAUAGAUGCAAAAAAUCUUGUUUCCGCAACGUAGAGGAC